GUAGUCUGCAACUCGACUACAUGAAGCUGGAAUCGCUAGUAAUCGCGGAUCAGAAUGCCGCGGUGAAUACGUUCCCGGGUCUUGUACACACCGCCCGUCACACCAUGGGAGUUGGGAAUGCCCGAAGCCGGUGACCUAACCGAAAGGGAGGAGCCGUCGAAGGCAGGCUUGAUAACUGGGGUGAAGUCGUAACAAGGUAAC
rnacentral:rRNA from 1 species